rnacentral:pre_miRNA from 1 species
AAAAUACUCCCUCCGUUCCUAAAUACUUGUCUUUUUAGGCAUUUUAACAAGUGACUACAUACGGAGCAAAAAGAGUGAAUCUACACUCUAAAAUAUGUCUACAUGCAUCCGUAUGUAGUAGUCAUUUGAAAUGUCUAGAAAGACAAAUAUUUAGGAACGGAGGGAGUACAAU